UUAAACCUACGGGACGCAGCAGUGAGGAAUAUUGGUCAAUGGGCGCGAGCCUGAACCAGCCAAGUCGCGUGAGGGAAGACGGUCCUAUGGAUUGUAAACCUCUUUUGUCGGGGAGCAAAAGACGCCACGCGUGGCGUUCCGAGAGUACCCGAAGAAAAAGCAUCGGCUAACUCCGUGCCAGCAGCCGCGGUAAUACGGAGGAUGCGAGCGUUAUCCGGAUUUAUUGGGUUUAAAGGGUGCGUAGGCGGUCCGUUAAGUCAGCGGUAAAAUUGCGGGGCUCAACCCCGUCGAGCCGUUGAAACUGG
rnacentral:rRNA from 1 species